rnacentral:rRNA from 1 species
UACGAGGGGGGCAAGCGUUGUUCGGAAUUACUGGGCGUAAAGUGUGCGCAGGCGGUCGUGCAAGUCGCGUGUGAAAGCCCCCGGCUCAACUGGGGAGGGUCACGCGAUACUGCUCGACUUGAAGGCAGGAGAGGGAAGUGGAAUUCCCGGUGUAGUGGUGAAAUGCGUAGAUAUCGGGAGGAACACCAGUGGCGAAGGCGACUUCCUGGCCUGUUCUUGACGCUGAGGCGCGAAAGCUAGGGUAGCAAACGGG